rnacentral:rRNA from 1 species
UGCAGUCGAACGAACUUCCGUUAAUUGAUUAUGAGGUGCUUGCACUGAAUGAGAUUUUAACACGAAGUGAGUGGCGGACGGGUGAGUAACACGUGGGUAACCUGCCCAGAAGCAGGGGAUAACACCUGGAAACAGAUGCUAAUACCGUAUAACAGAGAAAACCGCCUGGUUUUCUUUUAAAAGAUGGCUCUGCUAUCACUUCUGGAUGGACCCGCGGCGCAUUAGCUAGUUGGUGAGGUAACGGCUCACCAAGGCGAUGAUGCGUAGCCGACCUGAGAGGGUAAUCGGCCACAUUGGGACUGAGACACGGCCCAGACUCCUACGGGAGGCAGCAGUAGGGAAUCUUCCACAAUGGACGCAAGUCUGAUGGAGCAACGCCGCGUGAGUGAAGAAGGGUUUCGGCUCGUAAAGCUCUGUUGUUAAAGAAGAACGUGGGUGAGAGUAACUGUUCACCCAGUGACGGUAUUUAACCAGAAAGCCACGGCUAACUACGUGCCAGCAGCCGCGGUAAUACGUAGGUGGCAAGCGUUAUCCGGAUUUAUUGGGCGUAAAGCGAGCGCAGGCGGUCUUUUAAGUCUAAUGUGAAAGCCUUCGGCUCAACCGAAGAAGUGCAUUGGAAACUGGGAGACUUGAGUGCAGAAGAGGACAGUGGAACUCCAUGUGUAGCGGUGAAAUGCGUAGAUAUAUGGAAGAACACCAGUGGCGAAGGCGGCUGUCUGGUCUGUAACUGACGCUGAGGCUCGAAAGCAUGGGUAGCGAACAGGAUUAGAUACCCUGGUAGUCCAUGCCGUAAACGAUGAUUACUAAGUGUUGGAGGGUUUCCGCCCUUCAGUGCUGCAGCUAACGCAUUAAGUAAUCCGCCUGGGGAGUACGACCGCAAGGUUGAAACUCAAAAGAAUUGACGGGGGCCCGCACAAGCGGUGGAGCAUGUGGUUUAAUUCGAAGCUACGCGAAGAACCUUACCAGGUCUUGACAUCUUCUGCCAACCUAAGAGAUUAGGCGUUCCCUUCGGGGACAGAAUGACAGGUGGUGCAUGGUUGUCGUCAGCUCGUGUCGUGAGAUGUUGGGUUAAGUCCCGCAACGAGCGCAACCCUUAUUACUAGUUGCCAGCAUUCAGUUGGGCACUCUAGUGAGACUGCCGGUGACAAACCGGAGGAAGGUGGGGACGACGUCAAAUCAUCAUGCCCCUUAUGACCUGGGCUACACACGUGCUACAAUGGAUGGUACAACGAGUCGCGAAACCGCGAGGUUUAGCUAAUCUCUUAAAACCAUUCUCAGUUCGGACUGUAGGCUGCAACUCGCCUACACGAAGUCGGAAUCGCUAGUAAUCGCGGAUCAGCAUGCCGCGGUGAAUACGUUCCCGGGCCUUGUACACA